CGAGGGGCCCAGCGGUGUGGGAGGCAGCAGUGGCACAAGGGCUGGCCCAGCAGGGACCAGAGGACAUCGGGAGGGGCUUCAGGCCAGCCACAUAAUCAGCGCCGUGAGACCCCGUGUCCGUCCUGCUCAUCACCUGUGGUCAGGCACAACAAAGUCAUCCCAGGCUUUCAAACAGGGAAUUGGGCACACACAGGGCUGGAGAAAGCACCAGGCAGCUGCCAGGGGCCUGAGGGCUGAAGGACGGGAAAGGGGAGGUGUCGCCAGCUGCGAAGCUGAGGCCGCCCAGCAGGAAUGAGGACCACAGCGGAGGCUGCCCGGUCCCCGGAGCGAGGGGCUUGGCCCAUGGCGCGCUGAAAGCUGAGAAGUAGAGGAAGAAACCAUCUGGGCUUCGCCUUCUCAGCCUCUUGCUACUGCCCCAGAUCUCUUUCUCUGCAGGCCUCCUGAAUAAUGGUGGUGUGUUUUCUCUCUAAUGGCAUGGAGAAAGGCUGUCUUCUGCAGGCUUCAUUGCUCAGGUUUGAGCUAAUGAUAGCAGUUUGUUUGAAG